UACGUAGGGGGCAAGCGUUGUCCGGAAUCAUUGGGCGUAAAGAGCGUGUAGGCGGUUCGGUAAGUCGGCUGUGAAAGUCCAGGGCUCAACCCUAGGAUGCCGGUCGAUACUGCCGGACUAGAGUUCGGAAGAGGCGAGUGGAAUUCCCGGUGUAGCGGUGAAAUGCGCAGAUAUCGGGAGGAACACCUAUGGCGAAGGCAGCUCGCUGGGACGUUACUGACGCUGAGACGCGAAAGCGUGGGGAGCAAACAGG
rnacentral:rRNA from 1 species